GCCCGGAUCAGGCGGUUCCGAGGCCGGGCGGCUGCAGCGGGCGAUGCGCCCCGGACGUACUGACCAUGGACAGUGAAGAAAUCCCAACUUUUUCAAGUCCGAAGGAGGAAACUGCGUAUUGGAAAGAGCUCUCCUUGAAGUACAAGCAAAGCUUCCAGGAAGCUCGUGAAGAGCUGGCUGAAUUUCAGGAGGGAAGCAGAGAGUUAGAAGCUGAGUUGGAGGCACAGCUAGUGCAAGCUGAGCAGAGGAAUAGGGAUUUGCAAGCAGAUAACCAAAGACUGAAAUAUGAAGUGGAAACAUUAAAGGAGAAACUGGAGCACCAGUAUGCACAAAGCUACAAGCAAGUGUCGUUGUUAGAGGAUGACCUGAGCCAGACAAGGGCCAUUAAAGAUCAGCUACAUAAGUAUGUGAGGGAGCUGGAACAGGCCAACGAUGACUUGGAGCGUGCAAAGAGGGCAACAAUAGUUUCAUUGGAGGACUUCGAACAAAGGCUGAACCAGGCCAUUGAGAGAAAUGCGUUUUUAGAAAGUGAACUGGAUGACAAGGAAUCAUUGCUAGUUUCUGUUCAGAGAUUGAAGGAUGAAGCGAGAGACUUAAGGCAAGAGCUAGCAGUACGGGAAAGGCAACAAGAAGUCACCCGAAAGUCUGCACCUAGUUCUCCGACUCUAGACUGUGAAAAGAUGGAUUCAGCUGUCCAGGCGUCUCUCUCCUUGCCAGCCACACCUGUUGGAAAAGGAUCAGAAAAUAGUUUUCCUUCCCCAAAAGCUAUUCCAAAUGGAUUUGGUACCAGCCCUCUCACUCCUUCAGCUAGAAUAUCUGCACUCAACAUUGUGGGAGAUCUCUUACGGAAAGUGGGGGCCUUAGAAUCCAAAUUAGCUGCUUGCAGAAAUUUUGCAAAGGAUCAGGCAUCACGGAAAUCCUAUAUUUCAGGGAACGUUAACAGCAGCAUGAUAAACAGCAAUGGUGCAAAGUACCCUCACCCAGGACAUACUUCCUUCUUUGACAAAGGCCCCUGUACUCUCUUCCCUGCCCCAAAUUGUCGCUGGAGCCUGAAUCAGCCACGCGUGCUCGUAGACCCGGUCCAAUCUGCAGCCGCUGCCUUAUGAACAGCCAGUUGUUGGGUGGUGGGAUUGUGACAGAGGCGUGAAAAGGUCAUAUUCCCCACCUUGGUCAUGGGGCAGUAAAUGGCUUUGAUCAAGGUUCCCCUGGACUGGGAGCCUCCAGACCUUCAUCAGCACCUGGCAUGCUCCCCCUGAGCGUAUGAGUCAGCGCGAGGUUGUGUUUGGACUUGCGGAUGCUUUUCUCAGCCCACCAAGAGAAGAACUGCUUCAGUUUCCUCCCCAUUCCCUGCCCCGCUGGAACAUGACCUGCCCCAUGCUGUGCAGCAGUACCUGCCUGGCUGCUGCUGGAGGAGGCCCUGUGCUCGCAGCCCCUCGUGUCUUGUUAAUAGUUAACUUUCUCCUGUUGCUGUAGUGGACAUGUUCUGACUUGGCCCCACGCCACGUCGCACAAGCUGAGCUGCGUAGUGCUCUGUUUCAGGGGCUGCAAAACCUUGGCCAGGUGCUCCUUGACCUGUCACUUUAUCUCUUCUCUAACUUAGGUUUGGCGUGACAAAAAAAUUUGCCACUUUUCUUAAAGGCCACCCAUCUUGCUGCCUGCCCCUUCCACCAUCCUGCCACUUCACCAUGCAGCUGCUCUCCUCCCCAGCAGCCUCAAACUUCUCAAAGCAGAUGCGGGGUCAGGUGAGGGAGGCGAUGAGACAUUUGUACCUGGGGAUCAGGUCUGGGUCUGUAACAGAGUUACUGCAGCUUAAUGAAUUACAGCUGGGCAGGGUG